CUGCUUCAGCAGCACAUAUACUGAAAUUGGAAUGAUACAGAGAUAAUUAGCAAGGCCCUGUGCAAGGAUAACACACAAAUUUGUGAGGCAUUUCAUAUUUAA
ensembl:snRNA U6 U6 spliceosomal RNA